rnacentral:rRNA from 1 species
AUAUCAAUAAGCGGAGGAAAAGAAACUAACAAGGAUUCCCCUAGUAACUGCGAGUGAAGCGGGAUGAGCUCAAAUUUAAAAUCUGGUAGCUUUUUGCUGCCCGAGUUGUAAUCUGGAGAAGCAUUUUUUCCGCGUCAGACCGUGUACAAGUCUCUUGGAAUGAGCGUCAUAGAGGGUGAGAAUCCCGUCUUAAUGG